rnacentral:rRNA from 1 species
UACGGAGGGGGCUAGCGUUGUUCGGAAUUACUGGGCGUAAAGCGCGCGUAGGCGGCUUUGUAAGUUAGAGGUGAAAGCCCAGAGCUCAACUUUGGAAUAGCCUUUAAAACUGCAUCGCUUGAACACGGGAGAGGUGAGUGGAAUUCCGAGUGUAGAGGUGAAAUUCGUAGAUAUUCGGAAGAACACCAGUGGCGAAGGCGGCUCACUGGACCGUUGUUGACGCUGAGGUGCGAAAGCGUGGGGAGCAAACAGG